AGCGAACGCUGGCGGCAGGCUUAACACAUGCAAGUCGAGCGCCCCGCAAGGGGAGCGGCAGACGGGAGAGUAACACGUGGGAACGUACCCUUCAGUUCGGGACAACCAAGGGAAACUUUGGCUAAUACCGAAUACGUCCGUAAGGAGAAAGAUUUAUCGCUGAAGGAUCGGCCCGCGUCUGAUUAGCUAGUUGGUGGGGUAAUGGCCCACCAAGGCGACGAUCAGUAGCUGGUCUGAGAGGAUGAUCAGCCUCACUGGGACUGAGACACGGCCCAGACUCCUACGGGAGGCAGCAGUGGGGAAUAUUGGACAAUGGGCGCAAGCCUGAUCCAGCCAUGCCGCGUGGAUGAUGAAGGCCUUAGGGUUGUAAAGUCCUUUUAACGGGGAAGAUAAUGACGGUACCCGUAGAAUAAGCCCCGGCUAACUUCGUGCCAGCAGCCGCGGUAUACAAUUGUUGAUCCGCUCUAGAGUCGACCUGCAGGCAUGCAAGCUUGGCGUAAUCAUGGUCAUAGCUGUUUCCUGUGUGAAAUUGUUAUCCGCUCACAAUUCCACACAACAUACGAGCCGGAAGCAUAAAGUGUA
rnacentral:rRNA from 1 species